rnacentral:rRNA from 1 species
UACGUAGGUGGCAAGCGUUAUCCGGAAUUAUUGGGCGUAAAGCGCGCGCAGGUGGUUUCUUAAGUCUGAUGUGAAAGCCCACGGCUCAACCGUGGAGGGUCAUUGGAAACUGGGAGACUUGAGUGCAGAAGAGGAAAGUGGAAUUCCAUGUGUAGCGGUGAAAAUGCAUAGAGAUAUGGAGGAACACCAGUGGCGAAAGGCGACUUUCUGGUCUGUAACUGACACUGAGGCGCG